rfam:Bacillus sp. LL01 scaffold9.1, whole genome shotgun sequence.
UGACUGCGAUGAUGUGAAAGGUUGCUGGCACACCCGGCCGCUUUGCCAUGGCGAGUGUGACAGGUUAAUUUUCACGGAGAAUGUCUAUCAAUAAUAUAGGCGA